rnacentral:rRNA from 1 species
GACGAACGCUGGCGGCGUGCUUAACACAUGCAAGUCGAACGGAGUGGCGGACGGGUGAGUAACGCGUAAUCAACCUGCCCUUCAGAGGGGAUAACUAGUUGGAAACGACGGUUAAUACGGAAUACUGAAGGAGGGGAUUGGGUCUGAUUGGCUAGUUGGAGGGGUAAAGGCCCCCCAAGGCGAUGAUCAGUAGCCGGUUUGAGAGGAUGAACGGCCACAUUGGGACUGAGAAACGGCCCAGACUCCUACGGGAGGCAGCAGUGGGGAAUCUUCCGCAAUGGACGAAAGUCUGACGGAGCAACGCCGCGUGAGUGAUGACGGCCUUCGGGUUGUAAAGCUCUGUUAAUCGGGACGCGGUACCGGAAUAGAAAGCCACGGCUAACUACGUGCCAGCAGCCGCGGUAAUAC